rnacentral:rRNA from 1 species
UACAGAGGUCUCAAGCGUUGUCCGGAUUUAUUGGGUUUAAAGGGUGCGUAGGCGGCUUUGUAAGUCAGUGGUGAAAUAUGGCAGCUCAACUGUCAGGGUGCCAUUGAUACUGCAGAGCUUGAGUACAGAUGAGGUAGGCGGAAUUGACGGUGUAGCGGUGAAAUGCUUAGAUAUCGUCAAGAACACCGAUAGCGAAGGCAGCUUACUGGGCUGUAACUGACGCUGAGGCACGAAAGUGUGGGGAGCGAACAGG